rnacentral:rRNA from 1 species
AAAAAGCUCGUAGUUGGAUGCAGAGUUGGACAGUGCACGGUGGCCCCAUUUGUUUAGCUGGCUCCGGUCAGUUAGACGGUGGCGGAACAACCCCGUGCACCAAACUGUCCACUCUAACAGACCGAAGCGGUUCCCUGUGAGUAGGCUCCUUAAUUGGGGCUGAAAGCGCCUACGCAUCAACCAUAUGCAUACGGGACGUCGGUCAAAGUUACUGUGAACAAACCAGCGUGUCCAAGGCAGGCUUUCGCCUGAAUGUUCGAGCAUGGAAUAACAAGGGAUCGAUUCUCUCGGUUCUUUUUGUUGGUUUUUAACCCGAGAAGGAGAAAUUCAGGCCACGGUGUCUGAGUUGGGUUUCCCAGGGCUUCGGCUCUGGCCCCAAUUAGGCCGUGUCCUUACGGGAUCAAUAGGGACUGACGGGGUCGUACCUACUUCCGCGUCAGAGGUGAAAUUCUUAGAUCGCGGGAAGAGGAACUUCAGCGAAAGCAUUCGACAAGAAUGUCUUCAUUAAUCAAGAACGAGAGUGUGGGGAUCGAAGAUGAUCAGAUACCGUC